rnacentral:rRNA from 1 species
UACGGAGGAUCCAAGCGUUAUCCGGAUUUAUUGGGUUUAAAGGGUGCGUAGGCGGCCUAUUAAGUCAGGGGUGAAAGACGGUAGCUUAACUAUCGCAGUGCCUUUGAUACUGAUAGGCUUGAAUAUACUUGAGGUAGGCGGAAUGUGACAAGUAGCGGUGAAAUGCAUAGAUAUGUCACAGAACACCAAUUGCGAAGGCAGCUUACUAAAGUAUGAUUGACGCUGAGGCACGAAAGCGUGGGGAGUCAAACAGGA